rnacentral:tRNA from 1 species
GCCUUCCUGGUGUAGUGGUCAGCACGCUCGACUCGCAUUCGAGAGGUCCGUGGUUCGACUCCCGGCAGGGGA